rnacentral:rRNA from 1 species
GAUGAACGCUGGCGGCGUGCCUAAUACAUGCAAGUCGAGCGAACAGAUGAGGAGCUUGCUCCUCUGACGUUAGCGGCGGACGGGUGAGUAACACGUGGAUAACCUACCUAUAAGACUGGGACAACUUCGGGAAACCGGAGCUAAUACCGGAUAAUAUAUUGAACCGCAUGGUUCAAUAGUGAAAGACGGUUUUGCUGUCACUUAUAGAUGGAUCCGCGCCGCAUUAGCUAGUUGGUAAGGUAACGGCUUACCAAGGCAACGAUGCGUAGCCGACCUGAGAGGGUGAUCGGCCACACUGGAACUGAGACACGGUCCAGACUCCUACGGGAGGCAGCAGUAGGGAAUCUUCCGCAAUGGGCGAAAGCUUGACGGAGCAACGCCGCGUGAGUGAUGAAGGUCUUCGGAUCGUAAAACUCUGUUAUUAGGGAAGAACAAAUGUGUAAGUAACUAUGCACGUCUUGACGGUACCUAAUCAGAAAGCCACGGCUAACUACGUG